CGAGAAGAUCGUCAGGUGUUUCUAUGGGAAUGAGUUGGUUGGGCAGGAACGUCCGAUGAUUUAGAAUGAAAUGAAAACACUCAUUCAUGCGGGAACGUCUGAUGUCUGUUGGUACC